rnacentral:misc_RNA from 1 species
AGAAGACAAAGUUCCCUUUAAUCCGUUGGAUCUGAAUACAAUACGGGUAACUCUCACAACUUGUGUUGUGUUACCCGGUCUACGCUCGCACGAUAUUCCUGCGAGCGUACACGGGUUGUUAACAGAAAUGAUGCCUAAGUCCUUUUGUACAAGCAAGAGUGCAGCAUGAUCUGGUGGAUAAAGAUUCAAUCUUGCUUGAACAAAAAGGAAAAGGCUCACAACGUAUAAAAGAAAAAAGUGGAUAUUCGAAGUCAUUUGAGAUUCUUGUUUUUCCGGUAAACCGGACAGAGAGGGAGGAGAGAGGUGAACGAG